rnacentral:lncRNA from 1 species
AGUCAACACUCAGAAAAAUCCCAUGUUUCUGGGCACCGGAGUUGGGAGCAGGGGGAUGAGGGAUCCUGUCAGCUGAAGAAGGUGGAGACAAUCAUAGAAGAAAGCGGGUAAAAGGGGUUCCCUUAUCCCGAAUAUGAAACCACACAGGUCUGAGCUCCCCUCGGAGCUACCUAGGCAUGCGACAGACCCCAAACAACACUGCAGCCUUUGAAAACUGAAAGGAGACAGGAAUCACUAUCCACAGAAAGCCAGACAGAACUUCCAGAAUGUCAGGCCUCUGAGCCCAAGCCAAGCCAAGCCAUCGCAUCCCCUGUGACUUGCAUGUACACAUCCAGAUGGCCUGAAGUAACUGAAGACACAAAAGAAGUAAAAAUAGCCUUAACUGAUGACAUUCCACCAUUGUGAUUUGUUUCUGCCCCACCCUAACUGAUCAAUGUACUUUGUAAUCUCCCCCACCCUUAAGAAGGUACUUGGUAAUCAAUCUCCCCCACCCUUAAGAAGGUUCUUUGUAAUUCUCCCCACCCUUGAGAAUGUAUUUUGUGAGAUCCACCCCUGCCUGCAAAACAUUGGUCUUAACUUCACCGCCUAUCCCAAAACCUGUAAGAACUAAUGAUAAUCCACCACCCUUUGCUGACUCUCUUUU